rnacentral:rRNA from 1 species
GAUGGACGCUGGCGGCGUGCCUAAUACAUGCAAGUCGAGCGAACGGACGAGAAGCUUGCUUCUCUGAUGUUAGCGGCGGACGGGUGAGUAACACGUGGAUAACCUACCUAUAAGACUGGGAUAACUUCGGGAAACCGUAGCUAAUACCGGAUAAUAUUUUGAACCGCAUGGUUCAAAAGUGAAAGACGGUCUUGCUGUCACUUAUAGAUGGAUCCGCGCUGCAUUAGCUAGUUGGUAAGGUAACGGCUUACCAAGGCAACGAUGCAUAGCCGACCUGAGAGGGUGAUCGGCCACACUGGAACUGAGACACGGUCCAGACUCCUACGGGAGGCAGCAGUAGGGAAUCUUCCGCAAUGGGCGAAAGCCUGACGGAGCAACGCCGCGUGAGUGAUGAAGGUCUUCGGAUCGUAAAACUCUGUUAUUAGGGAAGAACAUAUGUGUAAGUAACUGCGCACAUCUUGACGGUACCUAAUCAGAAAGCCACGGCUAACUACGUG